GACCUAAACCGUCAGUACUGGUGGCAUGGUCGACGAGUCGCGUAGCGCAUAGACAACCCGUCAUGGGGUCUGCGUUACGCGCCUUGUGGGGAAACCUGCACGAGAGGCUUCGGUCUCU
rnacentral:sRNA from 1 species